UAUAAAUCAGGUUUGCACAUUUAUAGUAUAUAUUGAUGUAAAAAAAAAAAAAACUAGGGUCUUGAAAAUGAUGAGGCUGUUUAAAAAAAUGUUGUGUUGUUUACUUUUAAAGAGAUUCUAUCUUUAUUGAAGAAAUACUCCAGCCCUGGAAAGCGACAUAGCAUCAAAUAUUGGAAAAAAUCCCAGGAAAAAAAAAGCCUAACGUUAAUCCUGGCGAGAUGAAAUCUCCUGAGAGUGUAGUCACCGUCUCUCUCAUUGUUCAAGUCCUCACCUGACUUUGCAGAGAACUCAAUAGAAAAAUGAGUUAUGUUCUUCAUUCGGAGAUGAUUCAAAAGUUCCAGUGUGUGGGAUACAGUCAAGAUUACAGGCAGAAAGGAGCUCCUGUAGCAGUCAGUGUUGCAACCAAUCAGAAGAGGCCUUAUGAUCGUCAUGGCAACCUAACAGUUCAAUAUCCAGUCAGGGAGAGACAGAUGUUGGAGUCAUAGAUGAGAUCUGUCUGAUGGAAGAGAUGGUUUGAACUUCUUCCUUCAUCCAUGAAGCCCCUUUUCGACUCCUGUGGAGUUUGGGGUCAUAGGUCAGGCUUUACAUGAGCUUUUGAAAUGUUAAUCAGUUUAGUUUAAGCUAAAAGCUAAUCUUGGAGAAUCUGAGUGCAGAGCAAAUCACACAACCCAAUAAAGUCUCUCUUGCACUAUAGACAAAACAGUUUUAUUAAACUGACAUCUGCUUGUCCAGUAAAAGCUUUGC